AUCUUGCGCAAUGGCCUAACGGCUGACGCAGCGACGCCGCGUGUGGGAGGACGCCUUUCGGGGUGUAAACCACUGUUGCCCGGGACGAACAGCGCCAUUCGUGGCGUCUGACGGUACCGGGUGAGGAAGCACCGGCUAACUCCGUGCCAGCAGCCGCGGUAAUACGGAGGGUGCGAGCGUUGUCCGGAAUCAUUGGGCGUAAAGGGCGCGUAGGUGGCCCGGUCAGUCCGUGGUGAAAGCGCGGGGCUCAACCCUGCGUCGGCCAUGGAUACUGCCGCGGCUGGAGCACUGUAGAGGCAGGCGGAAUUCCGGGUGUAGCGGUGGAAUGCGUAGAGAUCCGGAAGAACACCGGUGGCGAAGGCGGCCUGCUGGGCAGUGGGGUGAAGACCCCUUCAAGCUGACACUGAGGCGCGACAGCGUGGGGAGCAAAC
rnacentral:rRNA from 1 species